rnacentral:rRNA from 1 species
UACGAAGGGGGCUAGCGUUGUUCGGAAUUACUGGGCGUAAAGCGUAUGCAGGCGGACUUUUAAGUCGGGGGUGAAAUCCCGAGGCUCAACCUCGGAACUGCCUUCGAUACUGGAAGUCUUGAGUCCGGGAGAGGUGAGUGGAACUCCGAGUGUAGAGGUGAAAUUCGUAGAUAUUCGGAAGAACACCGGUGGCGAAAGCGGCUCUCUGGCCCGGUUCUGACGCUGAGGCGCGAAAGCGUGGGGAGCAAACAGG